AUAUCUAGAAAAGGGUAUGUAUAUGUUAUUGUUUAAACACGGAGAGCGUUUCAAAUUACAUUAUUCCUGUGUUACAACUAUACAAUUUAUUUUGUAGCUCUUUGAACAACUAUAUAGACCAUUCUACUAGUAUGUAGAUGCGGAGUCCUUACAACCUAAAGUAACUGGCUCGGACAUAUUCCGCUUUAUUCCAUAUACAUAUUUCCUGAUAUAGUUAGACAUUAUGACGACGAUGAAAUGAGUUGUGUGGCACAUAAUGUAAGUCAUGAGUCUAUCACAUGAUACUUUCAUUUCCUUUAUUACCGAGAUAUAGUUCAUUUGCGCAGAACACAACAUGCAAUUGUGAGAUGGAUUAAUUUUCUUGUGUUGUAGUCCUUCCUUUUAAACCCACAUCCAGGGUCCCAAGGCCUGGACUACUUCAUUGUAGAGCUGGCGAGGGGAAGGAUUAUAAUAUAAUGGAUUUUGUUGUUUCAUGUUUUGGAAUUUGUUUGUAUAUAUCUAGAAAAGGGUAUGUAUAUGUUAUUG